rnacentral:rRNA from 1 species
UGCUGUUUCGCUGACGAGUGGCGGACGGGUGAGUAAUGUCUGGGAAACUGCCUGAUGGAGGGGGAUAACUACUGGAAACGGUAGCUAAUACCGCAUAACGUCGCAAGACCAAAGAGGGGGACCUUCGGGCCUCUUGCCAUCAGAUGUGCCCAGAUGGGAUUAGCUAGUAGGUGGGGUAACGGCUCACCUAGGCGACGAUCCCUAGCUGGUCUGAGAGGAUGACCAGCCACACUGGAACUGAGACACGGUCCAGACUCCUACGGGAGGCAGCAGUGGGGAAUAUUGCACAAUGGGCGCAAGCCUGAUGCAGCCAUGCCGCGUGUAUGAAGAAGGCCUUCGGGUUGUAAAGUACUUUCAGCGGGGAGGAAGGGAGUAAAGUUAAUACCUUUGCUCAUUGACGUUACCCGCAGAAGAAGCACCGGCUAACUCCGUGCCAGCAGCCGCGGUAAUACGGNNGGUGCAAGCGUUAAUCGGAAUUACUGGGCGUAAAGCGCACGCAGGCGGUUUGUUAAGUCAGA